UAAUACGAAGGGACCUAGCGUAGUUCGGAAUUACUGGGCUUAAAGAGCUCGUAGGUGGUCAGAAAAGUUGGUGGUGAAAUCCCAAGGCUUAACCUUGGAACUGCCACUAAAACUUUUUGACUAGAGUGUGAUAGAGGAAAGUGGAAUUUCUAGUGUAGAGGUGAAAUUCGUAGAUAUUAGAAAGAACACCGAUUGCGAAGGCAACUUUCUGGAUCAUUACUGACACUGAGGAGCGAAAGCAUGGGUAGCGAAGAGGAUUAGAUACCCUCGUAGUCCAUGCCGUAAACGAUGUGUGCUAGACGUUGGAAACUUAGUUUUCAGUGUCGCAGCAAAAGCGUUAAGCACACCGCCUGGGGAGUACGACCGCAAGGUUA
rnacentral:rRNA from 1 species